GCCGGGCGUGGUGGCUCACGCCUGUAAUCCCAGCACUUCGGGAGGCCGAGGCGGGUGGAUCACCUGAGGUCAGGAGUUCGAGACCAGCCUGGCCAGCAUGGUGAAAACCCGUCUCUA
rfam:Gorilla gorilla gorilla genomic chromosome, chr19, whole genome shotgun sequence